rnacentral:rRNA from 1 species
CCUACGGGGGGCAGCAGUCGAGAAUCAUUCACAAUGGGGGAAACCCUGAUGGUGCGACGCCGCGUGGGGGAAUGAAGGUCUUCGGAUUGUAAACCCCUGUCAUGUGGGAGCAAAUUAAAAAGAUAGUACCACAAGAGGAAGAGACGGCUAACUCUGUGCCAGCAGCCGCGGUAAUACAGAGGUCUCAAGCGUUUUUCGGAAUCACUGGGCGUAAAGCGUGCGUAGGCUGUUUCGUAAGUCGUGUGUGAAAGGCGCGGGCUCAACCCGCGGACGGCACAUGAUACUGCGAGACUAGAGUAAGGGAGGGGGAACCGGAAUUCUCGGUGUAGCAGUGAAAUGCGUAGAUAUCGAGAGGAACACUCGUGGCGAAGGCGGGUUCCUGGACAUUAACUGACGCUGAGGCACGAAGGCCAGGGGAGCGAAAGGGAUUAGAUACCCGAGUAGUC